GACGAGAGCACAAACACAACUGGUUGAAGAAAUACUUGUUUUGCUUGAAAGGAAUUCUGCCGGACCAGAAAUACCCUAAACUCCUUUUCAGACGUUAUCAACAGUCAGAUGAUUAUAUCUGAAGAAAUACUCUUAUCAGGUCUACCAAGGAAGAACUUGAAAGCCUUUCCAUCAGUACUUCACCAAGCUUAAGAAAAGCAAGCCUACCACCAGUUCAGUUUCUACAGGAACCUACAUACCCUUUAGAAACCUAGUACAGAUCUGCAAGCCAAGAGGUUUAAAAUCCGCUCUACGCAUUAUCCCUAGAACCUCAGUAAUUUCUAUUUAAACCUUCAUUAGCUUCUCUGACACCUGCCAAGCCAGGAACAGGAAGACCCAUGACUAACCGGCAUCAGUCCCAGAAGGAACACCACCUGAAAACACACAAAGGCCUUUCAUGGGCUGAAAGCAGGUGACGUGCCCAAGCCUAUUUAUAGGCCUUCAACUUCAGCAGGAUUCAGCAUGGGUAAAUGGUUUCCUUGAGUGCGACUGUUGGUUAUAGAGACCAGGAACAGCAGAUGCAGAAAGGAAAGCAAGCAUCUGACUAGACUUACAGCUCCCCAGAUGGAUAACAGGAAUUUUUGUCCUGGCUGCUUUGUGAAGAUGCGCCAAGUAUCCAACGGCCUUCAUUGCCAUCCCAUGGCCAUCACCACGUAUCACAAAUGUAACAGAACAAAGUAACAUACCAGUCCCUUUAUGGAAGUGAUUCUUCUUUGGGAGAAGAGAGAGCGGUGGAACAGAUGGAGUGGAACAGGGAAUAGCAAGAAUUACAUUUGCAUACAAGUAUAACUAUUCAGAGCCGUAAAACUACAGUAAGUACUGCGAUUAGCACUCAAUGUUUUAAUAACUCAACUUGUUCUUUACUUUCCAGCUCCUUCAAUUUCCAGAUAUUUUCAAGAUAAAGCUCUUUCUUUUUUAAAUUUUUAAAAUAUGGUCGUCAAGACCACAUUAGAAAAAGAACAGAUUAGCGUUAGCUCUCUCACGAGAGAACAGCAAGGAACGAACUUUCCUUUUCCUUUUUGCCUGUAAACUAGCAGUACGAACCCAGAUUACCACAUUGCCAAACAGCAUAGAGCACCACAGAAAGUCGACUUCUCUGUUAGCACUCUUUGUUGCCUAUGAUCUUGAAGCAAACAAAAACAAGAGAAAGAUGUUUCUGCAAACCGGGUAGGGAAGCUAUCUGAUCAGAGCUUGAAUAGUCUGAGAAGUCAGACACCUAUUAACUAGGAUACAAAGGGCUCUGAAAGAAGAGAAACUAUAGGAAAUAUCUUAAUGCAAGUAAGCACACUGCUGCUGCCGUCAGGUGAUGGAACUUUCUAAGAUUUGUCUCACAACACCUCUCCUGCAACUGCAAAACAUGACUUGGUUUCUGUUGCACUUAAUACCUUCUGAGGCUCAGAGGGGGGUGAAAGAGCUUUCUACCUCUUAUUUUCCAGUCUCAUGAACGCAAGACAGCACAAGAAGAAAGUGGUUCCAACAUUCUCCAUCUCCACCAAGCCACUUGCAAGUGGAAAGCACAUGAUGGGGUCAGGGAAGAAAAUAUCUUAAGUAUUCCUCUUUGCCUGCAAUUUCACUUUUUGCCUCUAAUAUAAAUCAUAUCUGUGUCUCAAAUACUGGCAACGGCAUGAAACUGUGUGAAACCAGUCGCCUUGCAACCUUGUAGCUACCUAAAGCACACUGAGUAGCACCCAUGAAACUGUGGAGAGUUUCUUCAUUUGCUGCUUGCAAAAGAUAAAAGCACUUGCAGCAGAUAAAAGGACUUCAGCUUUGCCAGAUCCUGGGAGAUAACCCAAAAUAAGCCAAGGCAAAGUCACACUAACUCUCAAGGGCUCUUUAAGUGCAUGUUUAGGUUUUACAGAAGGUGGCAAUAAAAGUCCUCAACUGUACAGAUAAGCUACAAAGUCUGGCUCAGCAAGCUUACAGAGAAACUUUCCAAGACUUCUCUAGGUUCUGGAACAAUAACGAACUGGUAAGGAAAAAAAGAGUACAUUAGCAAGGCUCUGACUUCUGUUAUUCUGUUAACAAAACUAUUCAGCGUCAUAACACAAAAUGCAAGAUAGAGUUUGUGCUACUAUUUAUUUCAUGCCAUCUGUCACUGGAGCCUAAUGAUGCAGUUAUAAAAUAUAGUCUGGAGACUAAAUGACCAACCAACGUUUAUGCUGCUCCAUCUGCAAUAGCACACGCAAAAGAAAAAAACACCAAACACGAAGAGGUGGGCUGGGCAUGAAUAAGAUCAAAAAAAAAAAAGUCAAAACUAAGUUGCUCUGAAUGUGCAUGUUAACAUUGCGGUGGCGGGUUAAUCAUUACACAUUUUGUGAUCAAUAGCUCGUUCCAAUUUUACAGAGGAUCAACUACACCAGUCUUCCAGACAAUUACACCAGACUAAGAUUGUCCAAACAUGUAUUCAGAGCUCACCAAUAAUUGUGAAUAGCUCUCUCCGUGGGAGAAGAACACACAAGGAGAUGGCAGCGGAAAGGCAGAAACCCUCACAUCUUUCAGAUUCAGCUGUCAUCUUUGCGAAACAACCACAGGCCCUCUGACCUCCACUGUCCGCUCUCCAGCCGGGCCCUGUGAUUAUUUGAGAAAAGCCAGGAAAUCGGAAAAGGGACUCGCACGCCAGACAGAACACACUGACACCACCACAAGAACGCUGCCAUGGUCCUCUGGGAGCUGAGAAAAACACUUGCAUCCCUUGACUUUUUGGCUUCCAAGACACAUAACAGGGAAGUCAAAGUACGUGGGGGGAAAAAAAGGAAAAGGACAGCGAAUGGGUUUACCACUACCUUUCCAAUGUAGUAUUCUGCUGUAGCUCAAACCCUGCAAUUUUAUCUGAACAGACAGCUCCUCAAGGUUGCACAGAGACCUCCUGAAUUCACACGGGGUGACAUACAGGUCCCCAGCUCAUCGAGUCACAGGGCCAGCUGAGAAUCUGAGCUUUUACCUAAAGAAUGACGAAAAGCAAGUGACACCCAACAUCUGCACAAGCCUGAAAGAAAAUACCAGCAGGUGAAACACCCUGAUGCCUCCCAUCAUUUUAAAGCUCUGUUACUCCGGGGACUCCUGCCCCCUGAACCAGGGCAGAGGAUUACAGUGGGAGGGAGGAAAGCACGGGGUGCUUACCUCUUCCCAGCCGCACAGCACCUGGCAGCUCCCCACGUUCCUACCUCGGUGACAGGCGUGAGCAGGCUGCCACCAAGGUGCAUACCGAAAAUCACUCACACGCCUGCCGCUUCGGCACUCGAGAAGCAUCUCCCCCCCAAAUCACACGUGUUGAUAACAGGGAAUUAUUUUAAUGGAAGUUAAUGAUUUCUUAGAUGCGGUGAUCUCAGCCUUUCCUACCGCUCCAGGAUUAAACAGUUUUUUCCUGGAACAUAAGUACGUUUGGCCCGCUCCACAUCUGCCUGAUAGCUUUGUGUUCCGACAAGCACCACAACUCGCCCUUCACGAGAGCGCCGUUUUAUCCCGUGAACUGUGUGGUUGUUCAGAGGCGCAAAACACGGCUUCCCUGCCUCACCCCGCAAAACAAAGGUGCGGGGAGCGCGGUGACAGCUUCCACAUGCCAGCCGGCUGGCCGCACCGGGGAGGUGGGAAGGGAAAGGAUGGGAUAAAAUGGGACGAGGUGGAAUGAAAUGGGAUGAGGCGAAGUAAAACGGGGUGAAAUAAAACGG